AUUGAACGCUGGCGGCAGGCCUAACACAUGCAAGUCGAACGAGUGGCGGACGGGUUAGUAGUGUCUGGGAAACUGCCCGAUGGAGGGGGAUAACUACUGGAAACGGUAGCUGAUACCCCAUAAACGCGGAUUUUCCCGGAUGGGAUUAGCUAGUAGGCGGGGUAACGGCUCACGUAGGCGACGAUCCCUAGCUGGUCUGAGAGGAUGACCAGCCAGACUGGAACUGAGACAGGGUCCAGACGCCUACGGGAGGGAGCAGGGGGGAAUAUUGAACAAUGGGCGCAAGCCUGAUGCAGCCAUGCGGAGUGUAUGAAGAAGGCCUUCGGGUGGUAAAGUACUUUCAGCGAGGAGGCGUUACUCGCAGAAGAAGCACCGGCUAACUCCGUGCCAGCAGCGGCGGUAAAC
rnacentral:rRNA from 1 species